CGGAGGAUCCGAGCGUUGUCCGGAUUUACUGGGUUUAAAGGGUGCGUAGGUGGACUUUUAAGUCAGUGGUGAAAGCCUGUAGCUUAACUAUAGAAUUGCCAUUGAAACUGAAAGUCUUGAGUACAGUUGAGGUGAGCGGAAUGUAUCAUGUAGCGGUGAAAUGCUUAGAUAUGAUACAGAACACCGAUUGCGAAGGCAGCUCACUAAACUGCAACUGACACUGAGGCACGAAAGCGUGGGGAUCAAACAGGAUUAGAUACCCUGGUAGUCCACGCUGUAAACGUUGAAUACUCGAUGUGUGCGAGUACACUGUACGCGUCUAAGCGAAAGCGUUAAGUAUUCCACCUGGGGAGUACGAUCGCAAGAUUG
rnacentral:rRNA from 1 species